GACGAACGCUGGCGGCGUGCUUAACACAUGCAAGUCGAACGGAAAGGCCCUGCGUUUGUGGGGUGCUCGAGUGGCGAACGGGGGAGUAAAACGUGAGUAACCUGCCCUUGACUUUGGGAUAACUUCAGGAAAAUGGGGCGCAUACCGGAUAGGAGCUCCUGCUGCACGGGGGGGGUUGGAAAGUGUCGGCGGUUGGGGCUGGACUCGCGGCUUAUCAGCUUGUUGGGGGGGUAGUGGCUUACCAAGGCUUUGACGGGUAGCCGACCUGGGAGGGUGACCGGGGACCUUGCGCCUGCGGUACGCCCCAGUCUCGUACGGUAGGCAGUAGUCGGGAACCUUGCGCAACGGGCGGACGCCUGUUGUGGAGACCCUGCGUUCGUGAUGCUGGGCUUCGGGUUGUAAACCGCUUUGGACUGUGCCGAGGCGUGCGUGACGGUAACGGGUCAGGAAGCACCGGCUAACUACGUG
rnacentral:rRNA from 1 species